rnacentral:rRNA from 1 species
UGAAGCGGCAACAGCUCGAAUUUGAAAUCUGGCCUCGGCCCGAGUUGUAAUCUGUAGAGGAUGCUUUUGGCGCGGUGCCUUCCGAGUGCCCUGGAACGGGACGCCACAGAGGGUGAGAGCCCCGUAUGGUCGGACACCAAGCCUGUGUAAAGCUCCUUCGACGAGUCGGGUAGCUUGGGAAUGCUGCUCUAAGUGGGAGGUAAACUUCUUCUAAAGCUAAAUACUGGCCAGAGACCGAUAGCGCACAAGUAGAGUGAUCGAAAGAUGAAAAGCACUUUGAAAAGAGGGUCAAAUAGUACGUGAAAUUGUUGAAAGGGAAGCGCUCAUGACCAGACUUGCGCCGGGCUGAUCAUCCAGUGGUCUCCACUGGUGCACUCUGCCCGGCUCAGGCCAGCGUCGGCUGUCACGGGGGGACAAAAGCACUGGGAAAGUAGCUCUCUCCGGGGAGUGUUAUAGCCCUAUGCAGAAU